UUUGAUCCCUGGCCUCACUCAGUGGGUUCGGGAUCUGGCAACAAACUGUGGUGUAGGUCACAGAUGCGGCUCAGAUUCCACAUUACUGCGGCUGUGGUGUAGGCUGGCAGAUCUAGCUCCGAUUCAACUCCUAGCCUGGGAACUUCCAUGCCUUGGAUGCCACCCUAAAAAAAAAAAAAAAAAAAAAAAAAAAAAAAUGAAUUGCCAGUUCUGGAAUAUUCUGCCUCAGUAGAUAUAUUUGCUGGACCAUCUUUGAAAGAGGACAUUCAGGAUCAUAUCCCAUCAAGGUGUUUACAAAUAGGCCCACUCUUAGCAGAUUUUAAUCCUUCUCUUUUUACUUUUUCAAAACUCACUCAUUCACGUAAGUACUUUCUUCCCAAGCAGAGUUAACAAGGCAACAGGUGGGGAUCCAGGGACAUCAGGGGCCCUGUUUGUAUUUCUCAAAAUUGAAGCACAUACCUGUUCCAGGGUACAGAGCAAGCCCACACAGCCCAGUUCAGUCAUCCCAAAGCCCCCAGAACUGGAUCAACUAUUCCAGGAGGGCCUGGGACAAGUAAAACCAACUUUUGAUUAGAAUUAGCAUCCUGGAACUUGUGGGGGAGGGGGUUCCUUUCCAAGAAUAAACCUAUUUUAAGUAAUGAGAUGUUAUUCAAAUCUGAAAGGAAAAGAGAAAGCAACCACCAAGGGAAAUUUAAUCGUCUGGAGUAAACUAUAAGAACAAUAAACCCUACAAUUUGGAAUUUGAUAAAUUCCGAGUUUGUGAUCGUUUGUGACCUGGAGGAGAGAGUUUAGGUUUCUAUUACCUUUGCACUACGUUUGUAAAUAUGGACCAGGACAAAACGUGAUGGAACAUUUUCAACUAAAAUAACAGAACUAUUUUUAAGGGUCUGAGCUGAUUAAUUGGGAUAUGGAACUGUUUAACAUUUUUUAUCUAUGUAUCUUUACUAAGGCCUUUCAUGUAGUUGGAAAGAGUUCUUUUUGAUGACUUAGGUAAUUGUGUGCACCAUAAAAGUGGUAAAACUGAUUUUUUUUAAUUAAAAAAAUUUCUAAAAUUCAAACAUUUCAUGAAGAAUGACCUUAUUACGCAGUUUACAUCUGUACAUUUAUCAGAACAAACAUGUUACCGGCCUUCCAUCUACUGUCAGUUGAAACUUUUAGAACUCCAGUCUCCUGCCUUUGAAAAUCAAAUUGGUUCAAAUUCAGUCUGGGGUUGUCAGAUUGAGCAAAUAGAAACCCAGAACGCCAUGAUAAAUUUGAAUUUCAGAUAAACAACAAUUAAGUAUGUCCCCUAUUUGGAUACUUACAUUAAAUAUUUUAUAGCAAAUAUGCUAAAUAUUUUAUUGUAUUACCUACAAUAGUACAUCCUGUAUUUUAUCUGCUGACUCUAAUUAGGGAGAGAUUUAAAUUGUGUUUAUGCCUUUUCUCUAAUGAUUUCAUACUACUUUGCGUGUUUAAUCAAACCUUCCAAAGUAUCUUUAUUUUAAGGAAGGGACAGAAUAACGCCUCUUGGACUCAUGGAGUGUUAACUUGGCCUGUUUCUCACCUGAUAAACCUUGAAAUAGAGAUAGUGCACACAGCUGAAACUAGACUAGAUCCCAGAUCCCAGACGCAUCACUUUCUCACCCCUGGGUUAUGGGACCUUAUUUAUAUAUAUAUAUUAUACCCCCCACACAUAUAUAUACAUAUGCACAUUUGUCUUUUUAAGGCCAUACCCAUGGCAUAUGGAAGCUGCCAGGCUAGGAGUCAAAUCAGAGCUGCAGCUGCAGGCCAACACCACAGCCACAGCAAUAUGGGAUCUGAGCCGUGUCUGUGACCUACAACACAGCUCACAGCAAUGCUGGAUCCCUAACCCGCUGAACAAGGCCAGGGAUUGAACCCGAGUCCUCAUAGAUACUAGUCGGGUUCGUUACUGCUGAGCCAUGACACGAACUCCUGUGGGACCUUAUUUUUAAAGCAUUAAAUUAUAUGCACCAUGUGCUGUGGGUCCAAGCUGAGUUUGGAGACUCCUUCUGAAUCCCUAUUCAGGGUCACUCCUUAGUACCUUGGAAUUCCACAGGGUUCUUUUUAUCAUGCCGACCUGGACCCACUCCCGACAUUCACCUGGCAAUUAAGAUGAUAGCAGUGAUAAUUUGGGCUUUAUGAAGUACUGGCUUGAUGGAGUAACAUAAGCAUAGAACUACAGAGCCAUAAAUGUAGAGAACAAGCAUGAUAUCAGUGGGAAUCUUGGCAUCCAAAAAGCAUUUAAAAAAUCAGCCUGUCAGUGUCUUUAUUAUGAAAUAGCUUUGAUUUUCAAAGGACUUUGCAGCCAUUCCAAGCACCGGCCCAUGUAAUAAUGGGUUCUGUUUUUGUUUUCUCUGCUACCUGUACGUAGGUGGGGAGGGCGGGGGAGGUGGGAAGGGUAUCUUGUUUUUUUAGUGUGAUAUUUACCUAGAGAUAAUAAACUGGAAAUCUUUUGCACAUCUCUGGUCCCUGAAAUCGGCUGUGAAAAGAUUUCUGUAAUUGGGAAAUCGCCAGCGUCUUGUGACUUACUUAACAUUUGGUGCAAAAACCAGUCAAUAGAAAACAAGUGGAAGCCAAGCAGGGGAAAACUUGACAGACAAGCUCCAGAUCAUCACAGCACUGGUUUCCCACCCCCACCCCCACCCCCCGCCCCAGGUCUUCAGUGGAUGAAAUGUCAAAUGAAACAAGCCCUUUUAAUUCUUCUAUUAAAUCCAGCUUUUAAUAACAAGCAUCCUGGAAGAGGAACAGCUAAUAUUUGUCUUAUGAAAUGUAACAGCCGGCGCCCUUCUUAAACACAAACCUGCUCAUAGGACUUUAGCGUGGGCUCAAGGCUGACAAGUUUGCAGACACUCCAGCUUGUCAAUUAAUCAGAUCCAGAUGCUUCUUCCAAACCCUUUGCACUGUCUCUGCAUCCCUUCCCAUGGAGUGGAUGGUGGAGGAGCGAGAGAUUGGGAUGAGCCAGAGUCUGCCAAAGGCCUUUGUAUUCCGAGAAGUUCUGCCAUGUUUUCUUGAUAAUUCUCUUUGUUUCACUCAUGGAGCCUUUGCCCUGGCCAGCAAAGAGCAUGAAGGGGAGGAAAGACAGCGGUUAGAUGCAGCAUCUAGACCCGAGAGAAGCAGGUGUGUCUUCAUUUCCAUCUUUCACUCUUCUGCCAACUCCGGGGGUCCACCGCCUCCUAAGUGGAACUUGGAAGGAGGCACAGACCUGAGAGAAGAUCUGAAAGAGGGCAAUGCCAUCCCAGCCCAGUGUCACAGGGUAAUUUCCAGCAGUUCGACUCAGUGUCUCAUCAGUGACCUGCCAGGGGAGGCAGUGACUUAUGGGUUGGGCAGAGGGCGAGGGGCAGAGAAGGGAGAAGAGGAAACUAGAAAUAAAGGGAUUCUCUUUGUGUAUGGGGAGGGGGUGGUGAACGGACAGCCCCUCCUCUGCAGUUUUCAUUUCACCACUUCACAGUAGUCUCUCCAGCCACCACUUCAUCCUCACACCCACCCCUGCCAUCCUGACUUUUGUAAUAAAGAACAUGGCAGCUUUCUGUAUUUCCUCCGCUUGUCCCCAUCUGCUGUGACAUCGAGAAGUGAGGGCCCCAGCAGUUCCUGCAGGAAUCGUGGCAAAAAUCUCCAGCCUCAGGACUGCUUGACAAGAGAGGGACUUGCCCUGCCACCACAUGGCGCUCGUAUUUGGAAGUGUUUUCCUUUAGAAAAUUCCAGGUGCCUUUGCUCUCUGAACACACAGCCCGUUUAUGAGGCAACGUUGUCCUCAUUUAUAGGGGGUCUGUUUUCUUUCUUUCCCUCUUGAAGAAACCUGUUAUUCAGUGGGCUGUAAAAUGGAAAGUAAAGAUCAGAGGUAGUGGAAAUAAUAUAAUGUACCUGGCUGGAAACAUGAGAACUCUCCCAUAAAACAUAAGGCAUUUAGAAAUUGUCACCCUAUUAUUUCACCAUGGCCUGUUGGGAAGCCUUCCUCCCUCCUGGUCCUUUUGGCUUUGUCCUGAGCCAUCUUCUUAAAUGGGUAUUCUCCCUUCCUUGACCUCUCAGCUUCCUAAAGGAGAGAAUGCCCUUAAGAACCACGUGGGAUGGUUCGAUGUGGUUUCGUUGGUUGCAAUUGCAUUGAUACAGACAGAUGUGUUAUGUCUCCACUGAGAGACUCUGGAAUGGUUUUUGGUCUCCACCUGGCCAUCCCAUAGGCUGUGCUUUUGCGGGGGUUGUACAGCUUUUUGGAGGGGGGGGAGAUGGCUUUGUUUUUUCUUCCAGGCUACAAAUCGUCUAUCAGGCAGUACCACCCUCACAGACGUUUAUUUUUCCCAAAGCCCCAUUUCUCUCUGCCUUGAAGUCUUGCUGCUUUGAUUGUGUCAGGAACCCUUUGUUCCCUGGGUAUUCGGUACCUUCUGGGCAGCCCCAUCCCAUUUGUGUUCCUAAUGGUUUGCCUCCCGCUGCAGCUGACCAGGCAGCAGGGUCGACCAUGCCAUGGGCCCUUCGCAGGUCCAGCCUCUCCUUGAAUCGUCAUCUGUCUCAGUUCUCCGGGACCUUCUUAGAGCCAGGCUUGUUUUAAACAAAUCCUCCAGCAGAGGAUGUGCAGCCGGCAGGGUCGGGAGGGUCGCUAAGGCCACCCACGCAACACGAGGCAGCAGCCCAGCCCGUCAGAGAGCUCCUUCCCCAGAUAGCUUCUUCCCUUUCUUUCUCUCCUCCUUCCUGACCCCCCCCACCCCCCUCCCUGGCCCGCUUCCUCCCCAGCACAAACCCCAAUAGGUUUCUCUCCAGAGAACAAUAAGCCUCGGUCUUUGGGGCCUGUCCAGAGCUCGGAGGGAAAGUUGAGGUCAGGGUGGCAGGCUGUACAGCUUUCUUUUGAGGCAAACAGAUGGUGAAGGUUAAAUGACAGCUCUCUGACUGCCUCUUUUGAAGUAAUUGGAGAUAAUUUGUAUUUUGAAGCAGAACUUGACCAUUGUCAGAAGGGAAGAAGGUUAAUAUGGAAACGAUUUUACAUUAGCCCCUGUUUCUUGCUCUGCCCCCCCUCCUUCUUUUUUCUCUCCUUCGGAUCCUUGUUCCCUUAAUCCUUGCUCCAGGCAAUUGGUGAGAUCGGCUCUGGGCUCAGGGUGCCUCGUUUUAGGCUGUGGCUGUUAUGAAAGCCAACAACAGCUUAUUAAGGCCAGUGAUAAUCUCUUCUACUGAUGCAUUGUAGCUUUCCAGAGGUCCAAUUAAGGGCGCAUCGGAAGCAAGAUCUUGUAAACCUACGGCCCCGUACCUAGGACAGUUUGCAAACACAUGCAGACUGCUUCCUCGUUUCUGCUUCCGAACGCAAACUGACUUCCUAUCACAGAGAGCAGUGUGUCUGCCUUGAAGAAAGGGACACGCUUGUCGUUCUUGUCUUUCACCGCCUGCCACCCUUCCUCUCCAGACAUGUUAAAAAAAAAAAAAAAUUCUUUUAAUUUCAAAGCCUGGCUUUGGGCUCCCCCUCCGAUGCGAAGCAUGGUAUUGUUUACCUCUCAACUGCGUCCUUUCAGAGAAGUGACAAUACUUCCUGAAAUCCCACUCCAGCAGGGAAGGGGAAGUCAGCCCCUGAAAAAAAAUAAGAAACCCUUUGCAUGUUCUAGAAAAGAGACUUGAGGGAGUGGCCUGUGGAUUUCCCCUUUGCCUCUCCCCAUCAUAAAUUUGCCGGAGCCAGCAGGUUCUUCAAGUAUAAGUGAACAGGGAAAGAAGUUUGCUCUUAUUGGCACUUAGGGGGAAUCUGGAUAGAAAAGAUGCUGCCUUCUGUAGGCGGCUCUGCUAUUAAUCUAGCCAAUUCCUACGUGCCCCAUCUGGGUAUUGCUAGGAACCAAGGGCGCUCUAGUGAAGGGCGGGCACAUUUAUCGUUUCCUGGCAUAUGAGACAUUAAGCAUCGUCAGCACAGCUGAGGGGAACAGCGGGGUCCAUGCUCUCAUAGGCAAGCACUGUCCCUCCCGGGUUGGUUCAGGGGUGCUCUUAGGAUGAGCAGUUAGGUACCUGCACCUCCCACAUCUCCUGAGUAUCAGCAACGGGAGAGAGAUCUGACCACCAGUUGGCUGAAAGUGAAACUCAGUCCUUCCUCUAGCUGGAAAGCAAGACAUUAGCUAUAACUUGCCAUAAAAAGGAUCUAACAUUUAAAAAAUAGCAGUUUUGUUUGACGUGACUAGGGAAAGUUUUAAUCCAUAGAAUCCAGAGAGAAGGAGUGAAAGUGGAGCCUGAAGUCUGUCUACAGCAUGUUUCAGUACUAUCUGCAACAGAAGUGCCGAAGGCAAUAUUGUAUUUUAUUCAUAUACAUCUGGUUUAUUAUGAAGCACAUUUUUUUCCCAGUAACUUCGAGAAAGAAAAGAAGAUAUUGUCGUGUUAUCCCUGGCUUUUUCUUAACCAUCCAAAGUAAAGAAAUGGCUGCAAAACCUUUAGAAGCAAUUCGAGUGCCGCAGUCGCUUUCAUCAGAUGUUCUCUGUAC
rnacentral:lncRNA from 1 species